AGGAUUAUAGUUUACUUAAAACAAUUAAUUUGCAAUUAAUAAAUAUUGAAUUAUCAAUUUAUCUU
rnacentral:tRNA from 1 species